CGAAAAUAUAAUUUGUAGUAAGUAUAUAUAUUCGUUAUCACAGACUGUCUUUAGAAAGUUUCCACAAGUGGAGCCGCUGUUGUCGAGUGGGAGCAACAGGAUGUGGCCUCUCGUCUUUCUGCUCUGCUUCAUUCAAGGUUUUGGUGUUCAAGGGGUCCAAUGGAAGAUUAUAACAUAUACAUCGGUCAUUGUACAGGUGGAAACAGACUCCGAUAUCUAUAUUACUCUUCAUGGAACUCGCGUAUCUUCCGCAGACAUGAAAUUAGACAACAACUUUGAGAGAGAUAGGCUUAAUACAUUCUUUGUUACAACGGACGACAUUGGUGAAGUGUGCUCAGUGUCCAUCAGGUCUAAUGGUAGUCACGCUGCUCCUGACUGGAAUAUCAAUUUGGUAGACCAACCUGGGUGCAGACUUUGAGUCCGGCACUGACCAACCAGCA